AUUGAACGCUGGCGGCAUGCUUUACACAUGCAAGUCGAACGGUAACAGGUUAAGCUGACGAGUGGCGAACGGGUGAGUAAUGCAUCGGAACGUGCCCGGUCGUGGGGGAUAACGCAGCGAAAGCUGCGCUAAUACCGCAUACGAUCUGAGGAUGAAAGCGGGGGACCGUAAGGCCUCGCGCGAUCGGAGCGGCCGAUGUCAGAUUAGGUAGUUGGUGGGGUAAAGGCUCACCAAGGCGACGAUCUGUAGCUGGUCUGAGAGGACGACCAGCCACACUGGAACUGAGACACGGUCCAGACUCCUACGGGAGGCAGCAGUGGGGAAUUUUGGACAAUGGGCGAAAGCCUGAUCCAGCAAUGCCGCGUGCAGGAUGAAGGCCUUCGGGUUGUAAACUGCUUUUGUACGGAACGAAACGGUGAGCUCUAAUACAGUUUGCUAAUGACGGUACCGUAAGAAUAAGCACCGGCUAACUACGUGCCAGCAGCCGCAGUAAAAC
rnacentral:rRNA from 1 species